UUUUAAUGUGAAAUAUUGAUACUACAAAUCUUUUAAUGUGUUUAUAUUUACCUAUUAUGAUCAAUUCGCAAAUGGUCGUAGCAAAGUUAAUUGAAGAUUUGGCUAAAUAAAUAUAAUUGAAAUUAUUUGAUUGACAUAGAUUGAAAUAAAAUCAACUAGUUUGUGGCAAUCCAAUUUAAAUUGUUAUGUAUUUGCAAGUUUAAAAUUUUUGGGUAGUCUCUCGUAUAGGGGACAAGUUGCCGAUUUGUUUUAAAUAGGAAUGAUUUACAACACCUUAAUCUUUUAAUUUGUGUAGAUGUCUAGGAAAAAGUCAAUAGCACGUCGUAUGGACAUGACCGCUACAAGUUUUUCUAGCAUUGAUUCAGACGACUAUGAGUCGUUAGGUGUCGCCCAAGAAUAGGAACCUAAGACACAGGCAUCCACUCACGAGUGUGAUGCCACCACGUCGAGAGGGGGUCCCUUCACAACAGGAUCCAUUUACCCAGCAGCUCAAUUCCGUUCGUUUCGCUUGCAAAACAGGUGCCAUAGUUCUUGGAAGCGGACCAAGCCUAAUAGAGCUUUAUAUGGACACAUUUUUGUGAAUUGAUGACAGUAAAAAAGGGGUGCAACAACUCGUGGACAACUGGUCUCAACACUUUGUGGUAUGUUGUUUUCAGACAAUUAUUCUCAAGUUAUUAUUUUUUGAAAUUUCCUGACUUUUUUUCUAGGAUAUAUAUAACACUAGUUGAAGGAGAUAUAAUGACAAUCCUUCAACCCAUCCAGAUCUCGAUCCGGAUUUAUGGUUGGAUGCAGAAUUGUCUGGUGAACCCUAUAGAAAUCAGGUAUAUGAUCUCUCUAAUACUACAGUCGAGGGCUUGCGGACGGCCAACAAUGUUUCAAUCAUUGGAUACUUGCAAUAGGUUUCAAGCACUCAAAUUCCGGAGUUCGAGGCGAUUUUAGACAAGCAAGUUUAAGCUUGGACGACCCAUCAUGCUAUUGAUUAUGAACAACUCAGUAUUAAAUUGGUUAAACUCCACUGAUUUGUAAUGGAAACAAGAUCAUAGAUAGACGAUACAUCAACUCCCACUUAUUUGCCCCACAUUCCCGGAGAUGACCCGUCUUCUCCUCCUUCUCCAGUACCUCUAUUCUAGAUUAAUUGUAUUUAAACUUAUAAAUAUUUAAAUUUAUAACAAAUAUUUGAUUUUUAUAUUAUUUUAUUUUAUUUU